rnacentral:rRNA from 1 species
GACGAACGCUGGCGGCGUGCUUAACACAUGCAAGUCGAACGGAAAGGCCCUGCUUUUGUGGGGUGCUCGAGUGGCGAACGGGUGAGUAACACGUGAGUAACCUGCCCUUGACUUUGGGAUAACUUCAGGAAACUGGGGCUAAUACCGGGUAGGAGCUCCUGCUGCAUGGUGGGGGUUGGAAAGUUUCGGCGGUUGGGGCUGGACUCGCGGCUUAUCAGCUUGUUGGUGGGGUAGUGGCUUACCAAGGCUUUGACGGGUAGGCGGCCUGGGAGGGUGACCGGCCUCAGUGGGACUGAGAUACGGCCCAGACUCCUACGGGAGGCAGCAGUGGGGAAUAUUGCACAAUGGGCGGAAGCCUGAUGCAGCAACGCCGCGUGCGGGAUGACGGCCUUCGGGUUGUAAACCGCUUUCGCCUGUGACGAAGCGUGAGUGACGGUAAUGGGUAAAGAAGCACCGGCUAACUACGUG